UGGACUAGUUCAGAUAACAGAGAUGCAAACUUGUGAAAACUGUAAGGUAGAUAUGGUUGUCCUGGAGAAAGACUGAACUCCACAAUAGAUAGGUUAUUUUUAUAUUUUCUAGUUUGAGUGAGCUUUCUGAAUCUUUUAAAAGUGUAUCAACCUUUAUUCAACUUGACAAAGUUUCCCUUAGAGUUAAAAUUUAUUUCUCCAUUUUCUUCGGAGCAAAGAAUAUCCUCUGCUUAUCAUUCAAUUCGUUCUUGUGAACAAUAUCCAGAUGAAAAGUGUGACGGCAUACAACUUCGGUGGGCUCGAAAAGAGCUAGCCAUGGACAAGAAGCUAUCUUGCUAUGUUGGUGUUAAUGACAAAACAAAGAUUGUUGUGAGGCUAAACCUUCACAUGAGCCUUUACUGUGGUCCUGUCCAUUGUUGAUAUUCUAUAGUAGCGAAUUUUAUUUCAGUAUACAUGUUUUUGCAAAUUAUCUGCAUGCAAGGUGUUUUCCAUUUUUCAUGUGAAAGCAAGCAAGCAUCAUCCUCAGCUUUAUGUACCAAUCGACAACAUGUAUCAACAGAUUAAAGCUAUGAAUGUAUAAUCAUUUGGUGCUUCCUAGUGUACUGUUCAAGGUAUUUGUGAGUGAGAAACUCGAGCAUGAUGCAACUCUGUAUGUGCAUUAAGACUAGCUAGACACACUCAUACUCCCUCUGUUCCAAAAUAGAUGACUCAACUUUGUACUAACUUUAGUACAAAGUUGGAUCAUCUAUUUUGGAACGGAGGGAGUAUCUGAAAAUUGCUUGUUAUACAGAAUGGUGCCCUGAUUAGAUUUUGUCGUGUCCAGAGAAGUAGUCCAACUUAUCUAGCAUUGCAGCAGCUGCCUACAUGAUGGCCCCCCCUGAACCUGCCUGCACCGUUUAUCUUCAACCUGGUUCAACUUUUGCCGUUGUAUUUAGCUUACUUGUCCUCACAUGCAUGUCUCCAGAGCUCCCAAUGAACAAACACACUCUGAGCAGCAAAAAAGUGCAGCAUUUUUGGGUAUCUAUGUUUCUCAUCAGUGAGUAGAUAGACUAUGUACCACAUUGCAGGAAGGCUGCAGGCAUCUCAAGCGGACGCUUUUGAUUCUCUUCUUAGUUCAUGAUUUUGUAUUUGAGUACAUUUUCGCUUUCCGUUUGUGCCGUGUUAUAGGAAAACAUGUGUGUUUCCCUGUGUCAAGAGGCAAAACCAAACGUGUGGUACUCCUAACAAGUAGUAUUGGCAAAAAACACUCGAGGUUCUGUGAAAUCUAUCCAUUCUGGGUUGAGAAACCAGAGGGUAUGUGCAUUGCUGUAAUCAUGGAGCUUCCAGUCGUAAGAUUAUGCACGUGACAUAUGGCCGGUGCCUGUCUGAGUGCAGCCCUUGGCGUUUGCACACGGAGGAGUCAGUCAGGAAUCAGGCAAAACCUACACUGUUGAGGACUCAGCAACCGGCCAAGGUGUGUGGGGGGAAGGAAGGAAGAUGGCGCCUCUCUGGCUGUCCACAGGCUUGCAAAUACGCUGGUGGCCAAAAAAUAAUACUGUACAAGCAGCAGCACUUGGGUCUCUACUGUUUCUGGAUGCUGAUUCCACGCUUUCUUUGGUUCGUAUCUGUACGUGCCCUCGCUCGCUCGCUGGAGCCCAGGAGGAAGGAAGCAAGGAAGCAAUCAUUCUGCACGACCGGUUAGCCAUGGAUGGGAAAUCUCUCUCCAGCUUUUCCCCUCCGCCCGAGCAACAGAAAGGCGAGGCCUUUUCCCCCAAUGGCCACCGGGGGGAAGAUUCUCUCUGCCUGCAUUAGGGUUUUGUUCCAAGAUGCUGCUGCUAAACCCUGAGCUGUGCUGGCUUUAACUGUCACUGAGAGAUGGACGGUGAAAGGAGGGGAAUCUCCCGUGCGCUUUGUGAGAUUUCUCUCACUUCCUCCGGCUCUGGCUCGUGCUCGGCUGGGCGGGCCGGGCCUGUGGUGGUGGUUGUUGUGGUGUGCUUGCAUUGCGUGACAAUGACACGUCCCGAUCAGAAGAAGAUGGAGGACAAGCCGUGGUGGAGGGGAGGACUGGGGAACUGGCAAUCAUCAUCACAAGCCAAGGCUGCGAGCCUUUUGGCCACCCUAUUGUGUUGUGUGGCUUUGUCAGUGACUCGGCGCCCUAUGCAGCAUUGCUUGCUAGUACUACCUUCCAACUGUUCCAGGUUCAAAGAAAAGCAAGCAUUUUCCAUGGAGUACUAGUGCAUCACAAAGUCUUUGUUUUGAAGCCAAGGCAAGGCAUGGCGAGAUGCAGCGUGGAGCAGAAGUUGGCAAAGGCAUGGAGGGGGAGCAAGGUGUGCGAGGCAGUGGAAGCAGUGGCGAGAAAUGUUCCGUCUAAUGGCAAGUCCCAUCCAAUUCAAUUCGGCCAGCGUACCAAGAAAUGUUUCCGACGAUCCAUCUGCUGCCCUGCCCUGCCCAAAGCCCAUGAUGAUGUGACGGUAUGAUAGGCGCAGCAAGCAAAGGGAGGACGCGGUAGCGUCCGGUGAUAGGUAAAAAAGCGGUCAAAAGACGCCCAGGACUGGGCAGUUUUUAAGACGGCACGCCGGAGUAGAUGAGGAUGAGGAGCACCAGCACCCGCUGGACGGUGAGCUUUUCUUUUCUACUACGUACUACUACAAAGCUCUCUCCCUCUAGCUGCAGCGCACUGCGCACCGCAUCAUGGCCUCGCCGUUUUUAUUCUACCGUCUUUACUAAUGGGCCUUCAUUGUUCUCGUUGUACCUCUGGGAUGAUUGGCUCUUUGCAAGCUUUUUAAUGCAGUAAGUAAUUUUGGAGUGGUGUGGCGGAGAAAGUUGCAGGAAGGGGGCAGGGCAUUCAUGCGGUCACAAGGCUGGGAGGGACAAUGCCGCGAUGGUGGCUCGGCUCGUUUGACCGGCCUUUGGCCAUGGUCCAAAAGAGGGUUGGAGCUUCAACAGUGACCCAGUGAGGAGCUCGUGGACCGAAGGGGGGCCUGGGUAUGCGUGCGCUCUGCACGGCUUGUGUGUAGGCAGGCAGGUCCCAUAAGAUUUAACAAGGACAAAAAAGAAAUCGUGUGUAGGGGCUCGUCCAGCUAGAACGGCGAACUUUACGGGAAAAGACUGACAGGCGUAGCCUAGUUUCAUAAUAAUUGCGCCCAUGAGAUUGAGAUUCCACAAGGAUUCGAGAUCAAUGACAACGCAAGUAAUGAUAUUUUAGCAGCCUGUGCUCCUGCGACCUAGGGAAGAUGUAUAUAUAUCUCGAAUACUUUUCCCUGCCCCUCCUUUUCAUUUCAAGCAAAAGGGGUGACUAUGCUGUAGCGCCCAAGUAACAUAUUGAUUUGCCCACUUGACCUAGAUUCGGUGUGGACUCGUGAUCAACUGCAAUGCUAAAAUAAUGUGGACCUGGCUAGAAUGUUUGUUCUUCCUUGCAAGGUUGUCUUG